GACGAACGCUGGCGGCGUGCCUAAUACAUGCAAGUAGAACGCUGAAGGAGGAGCUUGCUCUUCUGGAUGAGUUGCGAACGGGUGAGUAACGCGUAGGUAACCUGCCUGGUAGCGGGGGAUAACUAUUGGAAACGAUAGCUAAUACCGCAUAACAGUAGAUGUUGCAUGACAUUUGCUUAAAAGGUGCAAUUGCAUCACUACCAGCUGGACCUGCGUUGUAUUAGCUAGUUGGUGGGGUAACGGCUCACCAAGGCGACGAUACAUAGCCGACCUGAGAGGGUGAUCGGCCACACUGGGACUGAGACACGGCCCAGACUCCUACGGGAGGCAGCAGUAGGGAAUCUUCGGCAAUGGACGGAAGUCUGACCGAGCAACGCCGCGUGAGUGAAGAAGGUUUUCGGAUCGUAAAGCUCUGUUGUAAGAGAAGAACGAGUGUGAGAGUGGAAAGUUCACACUGUGACGGUAUCUUACCAGAAAGGGACGGCUAACUACGUG
rnacentral:rRNA from 1 species